GUAGGUGGCGAGCGUUAUCCGGAAUUAUUGGGCGUAAAGGGUGCGUAGGCGGUCUUUUAAGUCAGAUGUGAAAGCCCACAGCUUAACUGUGGAGGGUCAUUUGAAACUGAAAGACUUGAGUACUGGAGAGGAGAGUGGAAUUCCAUGUGUAGCGGUGAAAUGCGUAGAUAUAUGGAGGAACACCAGUGGCGAAGGCGGCUCUCUGGCCAGUAACUGACGCUGAGGCACGAAAGCGUGGGGGGAGCAAACAGGAUUAGAUACCCUGGUAGUCCACGCCCGUAAACGAUGAGUGCUAAGUGUCGGGGGAGACCUCGGUGCUGAAGUUAACGCAUUAAGCACUCCGCCUGGGAGUACGGUCGCAAGACUG
rnacentral:rRNA from 1 species